UACUGAUGCAGGCUUUCCAUUACUGGAGUACCCACUGAAGAGGUCUCACCUCAAAGAAUCCGAAAGUAGUCAUUUUAAGUUGGAAGAGACACUCUCUGAAGAUGAAGGUAGAUUGUUUAUCCUUAAAGACCUGAGAGGAAUUCUGCUUUUCCCUUCUACUGAUUGACGAUUGCAAUAAGCAGCACAGCUAUUGUAAAGAUAAAACCAAGUGUUGAUCAGCCUCAAAGGAAUAGAUGAUUCAUGAUAAAAUGCAACUUGCUGGAAUUCUUCAGUGGUAAAAAGUACAGCCCAUGCAGUGUUUGGGAGGAAACAGCCUGGCAAUAGAGGCCCAUGUGACUUGGAGGAGCAGGGAACUAAAGAGCGUAUGAGACAGUAAAAACUUUUACUGGGAGCAGGGCUUGUUUCUUGCUGUUGCGGGGUUUUUGUUUAUUUUAACAUCAAGUUGUUAACCUUGCUGUUUAGUCCUAAAAGUAAGAUGAUCCCCACAAAUCUGUGUAUUUAUUUAAAUAAAAAAAAAAAAACUUAUUUCUAUGCUGUCACCUCACUUUACAGAGGAAAGGAUUAGGGUGUAGGAACUUUUGACAGGUUUCAUGGUUGUAUAUUUUCUCUUUGUGCUUCUGGAAUGAAGGGUAGCUCUGGCAACAGAAAAAAAUCAUCUUGUAUUAGUAUGAUCAGUGGAGGAAGUCCAGAAUGUUGCUUUUGGAUGCAAAUUUUUUCAGGAUGAUAUUGAAGUAGACCAGUUGAGAGCUCUACCUGGCUGUUGAGCAAGGGUAAUGCUAGUUGCCCGUAUAUAUAGAUAUAACGAGUAUGUUUAGUGGCAAAAAAAACAACUCCAUACAAGGAAAAACUUGCUCAGCAUUUAAGCUGACUAGUAUCAAACACUUCAAUUAAUUAUAUAUAUUUUGAGAAAUGAUGGGGGAGACAGUUGUGUACUCCAAGCAAAAUUUAUUAGAAGUCUAUUCAAGGAAAAAGAAAAAAACACAGAGACCUUUUGCUUGUAAGAAUUCGAAGUCAGUUACCUGAAAGCCAGGUAUGAAAAACUUGUAUAUAUUUUUUUUUAAAAUCAGAUACAGAGUAGAAACAGUACUUUUUAAAUAUCACAGGCAACAGAUAUUUAAGUCUUCAGUCAUAAAUGGCAUCAGAGAUAGGUCUUAAUCUCACAGCAAAGCUGCAUGCAGAUCUAAUUUAAAAUUGAAAGCCUUUGAAAUAUAAAGCUUUUGCCAUGAAAUCUGCAAUAAUAAAGGUAUGCUGCACAAAGAUGUUUCUUUACCUUUGUCUUAAUGACAUUUCUGAGUAAUAAAGACAUAUGUACAUUUAGAUUUGGCUGCUAAACCAUAUUUUAAUUAAUAAAAUUCUGCAUAAAAUGCUAUUUUACAGAAUUGCACUAUCCAGGUGUUCUUAUGGUAAGUGGGGCAAAUAAAGAAAAAUGCAUUGAAAUAUUCUGUAUGUGAAAGGGCAAAGAUCAAAUAACUUUUUUUAAUCAACAACAAAAUGGCUCUGUACAAAAAAAAAAGCAAACGUAUGUACAAAAUGCUACAGACAGACAUUAAAUACAUUUUGAUAAUUUCAAUCCUUUACCCAUGAGAAAUACAGUAAAAGCUUCUGCCAUCUCUAAGGUGCUGAAGAAACCAAAUCUGAAUUUUUUUGUAUAAAGCCAUAGUCAUUAUCAUCCUGUGCCUUAAUUUCAUAUAUUAUUUAUGCUUACCUUUGUUGUUUUUUUCAAAUACUUGUUUCAUUCAGGAAAAAAAAACCCUAAAAUGUAUCAGUUUCAAUAUUUGUGACUUUUUUUUCUCCUGUAGUAAAUUUCUAAAAAGAAUGUGUAACUCAGGUUUUGUUAACGUAUAUAUGUAGUGAAAUAAAAUCAGUACAUGAUACUUGUGAAUAUUUUUCAGGUGGCUAUGUUAGAAAGAAAACUUUGCACUAACACUGUUUACUUUCUGCUUACAAUUCAUGUGAUACGUAAAAACACUAAACUCUCACAUUUCAUGUUGCUGGCUAUUACAACAUUUUGAUUACAACCAUUUAACUUCCAACAUCAGUAGCAGGUUUUUAUUGUCUGUGCUUAUAUCAUUGUAUUUUCAUUAAAUCCUGCUUACCAAAGUUUCAUGCCUCUUGCACUUUCUUACCUUUUAACAAAAAACAUGAUAGCUUUUUGGGGGAAAAAAGGAAAAUGGUUUAGCCAGUACCACUGCACCUGUUCAGAACACUUCUAAGUUCCCCUGUUUAUUCACUAUGCUUGCUCCAGAUUUUACAAUUACAGUGCAUAUGUAACAACAUACAAGUGCAGGCAAAAAAUCUGUAUUAGAAUUUUUCAUACAUUGUAAACCAGUACAAUAGGCAAACCUGUGAUACAGCAAAGUGAAAGCAACAUAUGCUGCCAAGCUAAAAAGAACUUGAAAACUCAAACAACUUUUUUUUUUUUUAAAGUA